rnacentral:lncRNA from 1 species
UUAUUUUCUAGAUCAGGUAAAGUUCUUCUUAGCAAGCCAAAGAAAAGAGGGAGGGUAGACCCGUUUUCCCAGCAGCAAGCAGACCCGGUAAGUCAAUGUGUGGGGGAAGUGCUCUCAGGGGAGGGUAGACAGAGGCCACCCAGGGCUCCAGUCAGGCCUUAGAGAGACAGCCUGGCCCCUGCUGUCCACCCACAUGCCCAGGUUUCUCCUGGCUGGCAUCCAAGCAUCUGACACUCCAGCCAUCCACGAUCAGGGAGGUUGUCCCUCCUUCUUUCUCACGAGCAAGGCAGGGAGGGCGGAGGGUCCAGCCCGUGUGCUGCUCAGGCUCCUCAGGGUCCACUGAUGCCCCCUCUAACUUGGCCAAGAUCCAUGCUUUGGCCUGGGCCCGCCUGCCUCUCACCUGCAUGCCGAUGACAGCGUAGAUGAAGAAGAGCAUGACGAUGAGCAGAGCCACGUAGGGUAGGGCCUGCAGGGCGGGCGGGAGCGCCAGUCAGUGUCUUAGGGCUCCACUGUGUGUCUGCAGCCCUGCCCUCUGUUAGCUCCCCAGGGCUCUGCCUUGCCCAGGGCUCCCCUGGGGCCCACCCUGGGCUGAGGCAGAUGUCCCUAGUGGCCUCCCCAGGUACGUGCAGUUUCCAGGGUCCCUGUUGCACCUGGAAGGACUUGAUGAACGUCCACAGGAGGGUUCGCACUCCUUCUGCCCGGCUCAGCAGCUUGAUCAGCCUCAUGACACGGAACAGGCGGAAGAAGGCGCUGGAGAUGCGGGCACUCUCAUCUGGGUCCUGCGGGGCAGCAGCCCCAGAGGAUGCCACUUGGGCAACUGUUUUUUGAUUUUGGCCUCUGACUCUCGGAUCUUCUCCACCCUCCUUCGUUGCAGCAACCUUCAGCUACAGACCCCUGGCAAGGCAGCCUCUGGAGGGAUCGGCUUCUAAGGUCUUGAAUGUGGACCUCUCUGGCUGGAACUGCCUCCCUGCUCCUUUCAUCCCCUUCAUAAGGCAGGUCCUGCUGCUGUUUCUCAUUCCACCUCCAAACCCUCAUCCCCUUGGUCCAGAUUCUGGGAGCCUUCCUGUCAGCUCAACCUUCAAAAUAGAUCCAGACACUGAUCCCUUCUCACAGCCUCCACAGCCAGCCCCGGCCCCCAUCGCCUCUCACCUGGAUCACUGCGGGAACCCCCUGACUGCUCUCGCUGGGUCAGCCCUCUUGUCCCCUACAGUUUAGUUUGUUCGCAACACAGCAGCCACAGUGAUUGUUUUAGAACUAAAGUCUGUUCACACUUAAACCCUCCAAAGGGUUCUCAUCUCCCUCAGAAUAAAAUCCAAGAUCAUAACCAUGGCCUUCAAGGGCCUAGAUGAUCUGGCCCCUGCCUUCUCUCUCUUACCUCAUCUCCACCACUCUCUCCUCCAGCUACAAGGGCCUCCUGCUCUUCCUCAAACUCAGCAAGCACCAUCCUGCUGCAGGGCCUUUGCACUGCUGUCGUGUUCUGCCAACACUCUGGCCCCCGUUCUGGCAUGGCUCAUGCCCUUGCUUUCUUCAGGCCUCUGCUCCAGUGUCAUAUGGACACCACCCUCCCAUUCUCUUCCACUCUAAGCCUCUAACUCCCUUUAUGUUUCUGUAUAAUACUAUGUACUUGUCAUACCUGUCAUAUUAGAGAUUGAUUUAUUUAUUGCCAGUUUGUUCCACAAUUUUGUUCACUGCUGUAUCUCAGGCAGCAAGAAUCAUGCCUGGCACAUGGGAGGUACUCAGUACAUAUUUGAGAAAUAAAUGAGUGAGUCUUCUAACUGGGUCUCUUAAUUUUAGUCAUCCUCACUUCCUGUUGCUCAUCUCCAGGUUAGCUUUUUAGAAGCAGGGCUCUAAGGGCUCAGCGCGGUGGCUCACACCUGUAAUCCCAGCACUUUGGGAGGCUGAGGCAGGUGGAUCACUUGAGCCCAGGACUUGGAGACCAGCCUGGGCAACACGAGGAGACUCCAUCUCUAUAUUUCAAAAACAUAUUUUUUAAAAAAGAAGUAGGACUCUAAUCCUCCCACUGCCCUGUUUAAAAACCUUUAGUGACUUCCCACUGCCUGCUCCAUAAAGCUGAAGCCCACUCUCACCGCUUAGCUCUCCAGCCUUGCCCUCUCUGUUCUCUUCUCUGCAUGUUCUUAUGCUUCCAAUAAACUGGACCACUCAGCAUGCCCUGAACCUUCUUUGCAUUUCCUGCGCUGUGCCUCUCCUACAGUAGCCCUGCCUGAGGUGCUUGCUCUCCUCUCCAGCUCCAGUCACCACCUCCCUUUCCUUCAGGCAGAUGGCACCACCUCCAUGAAGCCUUCUCUGACCACCCCACCCAGAGACGACUUUCCUUUCCGUUACAGCUCUUGCCUUUGAUAGUGUAGUAGGUACACCCAUUGUGUCCCCCUGGUAUCUGAGUUACCUCUCUGCCCAGCAGGAUGAUAGUUCCUUGAGGGCAGAAGCCGUGACUUGUCAUUCCAUCUUUUUAACCCCUGGGGUUCCAUGUUGUACACACAGUGGGCACCCCACAAAUAUCUGUGGAUUGAACACAUGCUCUUGGGCCCACCCUAGUGAUGGCUCUGCCUGCCUGAUACUCACGUCGAUCUCACUGAGGAUGACAUCAAUGAUGCUGCCAAUGACAAUCAGGAAGUCAAACACAUUCCAGGGGUCUCCAAAGUAGCCCUGGGAAGGAAAAGGAUGGGAAAGCGAGGGGGUGAGCUUUGGGAGGAAGGAGCUCUGGCUGCUGGCAGAGGACAGUGUCCCACCCGAGCUAAUGCGGAGCUGCGGGUUAGGCCAAGGUGGGGUGCCCAUGACUCCACCUCCCACUGGUGCUCCAGUGGGCUCCCCCAACUCCAACACUCCUCUCCCCUUUGCUCUUUAGUUCCCUUCCUCCAGAGCAGAAAGUAGUGGUGGGGGGGAGGGGAGAAUUGUUGGGAACUCAGGAUUUGGGGUCCUGGUCCAGAUAGAGAUCUCUUUCAUCCCCUGAACCCCACUGAACAUCCUAUCUGGGGCUUGACAGUGCGGAACUGACAGGGCUGUGCUGGGAACCAUGGCAAUGGACUUGAGAACGAAAGAGACAAGGCAAGAUUUUCCCCCAGCCCUGGGACUGUUCUUCAGAAACUUCAGAGCAGGCGAGAAUGUAAGAGAAGCUCCAAGGAAGAGGCGCCCAGAGUCUUUCUGUCAUUGUCAAUUCUGGCUGCAUGAAGAUCUGCCUGCCCUGUGUCUGAAGGUGGAAGUGGGCAAAGGGGUGAGCAAGUUGGGAGCAGAAGUGCUGGGCAAAGGAGCCCUGAUAGGAUGAGGGAUGGGGGUGGAUGUUCCACUGGAAGGUCCCACCCACCAGCCCCAGCUUCUCAUCUGGCCCGGUGGCCCCCACACUCACCCUGGCCUUGAAGGCCAUGAGCUUGAGGAUCAUCUCCAGGGUGAAGAUGAUAGUGAAGGCCACAUUGAGGAUGUCUGAGAUGUGGUUCAUCUGCUCCGACUGGUUGUAGUGCUGUGGAGGGGACACAGGAGCAGUGGGUCAGGGGGGCCGGGUUUGCCCACCCUGUAGAUUGCAUUCCCAGAGCCCCUGCCUCUUCCUGGGAAGCCCCCAACCCUUUCUUGGGCCCCCUGCUCACUUUGUUUUAGCUCAGAAAACUAGAAGCUGCUUUAGCAAUCCCCUGAGUUCCGCCAAAUUUUAUGAACACCCUCCCCCUACCCCACCACCACAAAAGAGAUAACACAGAAGGGGAGGGGCUCCAAUUCCAAGUCCUGCUGAGUGCGUUCAUUUACAUGCAGGGCUGCAAGGCCAAAGCUCAUUUACAUAUCUGCUUUGGGAGGACCAGGAUGGCAGGUCGUCCAGGCAGGGCUCUGUAACAGGUUCUGUUUAGUCAUUUGGGUACAGGACUGGGAAAGAAGACCCCUGGAUUCCAUAGUCCAUGUUAUCACUGGCUACUAGUGGGAAACUGAGAGCUCACCAAGCUUACUGUGUCUGCACACCACCCCCAGUGAUUAUGAGGCAUGAUGGUGAGGCCCCUGUCACCUACCACUAUGACCCUCCUUAAAUCUACUUCCUUGUAAGUUUUCCCAGGGAUCUCUUACCCUUUUAUUAGAAAGUGGAUGAAAUUCUACCUCUUCCACAAAACCUUCCAGGUAGUUUGGGAGGAUCUGAUGGCUGCCUCCACCCUGCCCUGCCUUGGCAGGACUGCCCAAUUCUGCUGCCUGACUCAGCCCCAAACACAAGCCAGUGCUGAUGAUCCUCUGCGACCUGGGCCUCCUGGCUCAGUGAUUGUCUUUCCAUAUCACCAUGACCUAGCAGUGUGUGUUCUUAUCAUUGGGUGUGUCUUGGGCUUCUAGGAGCAGGGAGCCUAGUUACACCAUCCUAUUUAUACAGGGCUUAAGGAAUCAGAUGCUUAAUCGAGGCUUGAUAACGAUGCUGCUAAUUAUGAUAUUGUCUAUAAAGGGUGCUCAACUCCCAAGAGAGACAUCUGUUUUGCAAAUACUAAACCCAUUUUUCUUGGGACCAGAGCCAAGAUUCCAGCCAACUCAACCAUCCAGAUUUGCAACAGCAGAAGAAAAACAGAGAAAGCACUUUCUACUUCCCACACUUUCUCCUCCUUCUGUGGUAGCUAUCUCCUGUUUGCAGAAUUACCGUACUAUUUUUAUGCUUGAAUUACCUCCUUAAUAAACCAUAAGUGCCUGGUGACAAGGCCUGUGCGCAG